rnacentral:rRNA from 1 species
AGUACAGGAUGGACCCGCGUCUGAUUAGCUAGUUGGUAAGGUAACGGCUUACCAAGGCGACGAUCAGUAGCCGACCUGAGAGGGUGAUCGGCCACAUUGGAACUGAGACACGGUCCAAACUCCUACGGGAGGCAGCAGUGGGGAAUAUUGCACAAUGGGCGAAAGCCUGAUGCAGCAACGCCGCGUGAGUGAUGAAGGCCUUCGGGUCGUAAAACUCUGUCCUCAAGGAAGAUAAUGACGGUACUUGAGGAGGAAGCCCCGGCUAACUACGUGCCAGCAGCCGCGGUAAUACGUAGGGGGCUAGCGUUAUCCGGAUUUACUGGGCGUAAAGGGUGCGUAGGCGGUCUUUCAAGUCAGGAGUGAAAGGCUACGGCUCAACCGUAGUAAGCUCUUGAAACUGGGAGACUUGAGUGCAGGAGAGGAGAGUGGAAUUCCUAGUGUAGCGGUGAAAUGCGUAGAUAUUAGGAGGAACACCAGUUGCGAAGGCGGCUCUCUGGACUGUAACUGACGCUGAGGCACGAAAGCGUGGGGAGCAAACAGGAUUAGAU